AAAUUUACCAAAAAUAGUAUUUCCUUGCGUUUGUUUUGUUGCCUGAUUUGCAACCUGUACUAGGUAAGCGACUUCCAUUGCACUUCAGAAGGGCGCUUGCUUAAGGUCGCCUCAAAGUAGGAGAGCCUACGUCAUAAUUUGUGGCAGUGGUGGCCUGCGUUCGCGCGGUCCCUGU
rnacentral:snRNA from 12 species